ensembl:rRNA 5S_rRNA 5S ribosomal RNA
GUCUAAAGCUGAUGUGUGCCCAAGCUCCCUAUCCCAUCUGAUCUUGGAAGCUGAGCAGGGUCGGGCCUGGUUAGCACUUGGAUGGGAGACCACCUGGGAUGCCGGGUGCUGUAGGCC